UUUAUUUCCCUGCAGCUCUCAUCCCCUGCUCAUCCAAGCCUCCCUCCUUCCAGAUGAAUAGGAACAGGUUACAGCUGACCCAGUUUCACUCCCAGCUUCAGAAGAUGAAUCACGGGGCUGGAGAGACUUCUUCAUGAAGGAAUACAGGGACAGUCACAGGAGACAGGAGCACCAAGGGAUUCGGACAUGUGGCUGACACAGUCUUCUGGAGAGCCCCGGAUGGCAUCAGGGGGAAACCUGGCCUGAGACAGUGCCCUGAUGGACAAGGACAGGAAUACGGUCAUACCUCCUGCCCACUUGACCAACGACCAGGAUGAGAAGCCAACAGAUGAUGAAUAUGAAUUAAAGUUGGACAACUAGCAAGUUUAAAACUUGGACUGGGACCUAGAUCUUCCGAUUCCUACAGCUAGCCUCCCUUUCCAUCUUCUCUGUGGUCAUCACUAAUGCAGUUUUUGACCGUCUUGUCCAGAAGCUGCAAAACAGACAACAGAAGCCAGGACUGGCCCUGCCUUAGAUGGCUUUCAGUGCAGGAAAGUAUCAAGACAGUCUUGUUCGUAGCG
rnacentral:lncRNA from 10 species